rnacentral:rRNA from 1 species
UACAGAGGGGGCAAGCGUUAUUCGGAAUUAUUGGGCGUAAAGGGCGCGUAGGCGGCUUGGCAAGUGGAAGGUGAAAUCCCUCGGCUUAACCGAGGAACUGCCCUCCAAACUGCUUGGCUUGAGACCGGGAGAGGUGAGUGGAAUUCCCAGUGUAGCGGUGAAAUGCGUAGAUAUUGGGAGGAACACCAGUGGCGAAGGCGGCUCACUGGACCGGUACUGACGCUGAUGCGCGAAAGCGUGGGUAGCAAACAGG